GCCCUUAUAGCUCAGUGGUAGAGCGCGCCACUCGUAAUGGUGAGGUCCGUCGUUCAACUCGGCGUGAGGCA
rnacentral:tRNA from 1 species